rnacentral:rRNA from 1 species
GUGGGGAAUCUUGCGCAAUGGGCGAAAGCCUGACGCAGCCAUGCCGCGUGAAUGAUGAAGGUCUUAGGAUUGUAAAAUUCUUUCACCGGGGACGAUAAUGACGGUACCCGGAGAAGAAGCCCUGGCUAACUUCGUGCCAGCAGCCGCGGUAAUACGAAGGGGGCUAGCGUUGCUCGGAAUUACUGGGCGUAAAGGGCGCGUAGGCGGACAGUUUAGUCAGAGGUGAAAGCCCAGGGCUCAACCUUGGAAUUGCCUUUGAUACUGGCUGUCUUGAGUACGGGAGAGGUGAGUGGAACUCCGAGUGUAGAGGUGAAAUUCGUAGAUAUUCGGAAGAACACCAGUGGCGAAGGCGACUCACUGGCCCGUUACUGACGCUGAGGCGCGAAAGCGUGGGGAGCAAACAGGAUUAGAUACCCCAGUAGUCC